GAAAUAUGAUACCCAAAAAUAAGCUUCUAACUUAGUUUUUAAGCGGUGUAAUUCCGUUUAUAUUUCU
rnacentral:tRNA from 1 species